rnacentral:rRNA from 1 species
GCUUACGGCCAUACCAACCUGGCUAUGCCCGAUCUCGUCUGAUCUCAGAAGCUAAGCAGGUAUGGGCUUGGUUAGUACUCGGAUGGGAGACCGCCUGGGAGUACCAGGUGUUGUAAGCU